rnacentral:misc_RNA from 1 species
UUUCCGUAGGUGAACCUGCGGAAGGAUCAUUACAGAGUUCAUGCCCUCACGGGUAGAUCUCCCACCCUUGAAUAUUUAUACCUUAGUUGCUUUGGCAGGCCGUGGAAACACCAUGGGCACCGGCUUAUGCGUGCCUGCCAGAGGAAACAAACUCUGUUUUUAGUGAUGUCUGAGUACUAUAUAAUAGUUAAAACUUUCAACAACGGAUCUCUUGGUUCUG